rnacentral:rRNA from 1 species
AGUGAACGCUGGCGGUAGGCCUAACACAUGCAAGUCGAACGGCAGCACAGUAAGAGCUUGCUCUUACGGGUGGCGAGUGGCGGACGGUUGAGGAAUACAUCGGAAUCUACUUUUUCGUGGGGGAUAACGUAGGGAAACUUACGCUAAUACCGCAUACGACCUACGGGUGAAAGCAUGGGAUCUUCGGACCUUGCGCGAUUGAAUGAGCCGAUGUCGGAUUAGCUAGUUGGCGGGGUAAAGGCCCACCAAGGCGACGAUCCGUAGCUGGUCUGAGAGGAUGAUCAGCCACACUGGAACUGAGACACGGUCCAGACUCCUACGGGAGGCAGCAGUGGGGAAUAUUGGACAAUGGGCGCAAGCCUGAUCCAGCCAUACCGCGUGUGUGAAGAAGGCCUUCGGGUUGUAAAGCCCUUUUGUUGGGAAAGAAAAGCAGCAGGUUAAUACCCCGCUGUUCUGACGGUACCCAAAGAAUAAGCACCGGCUAACUUCGUG